CUUCGCAGCAGCCCUUGGUCCUUCACAGAAGAGGGGGCCCACAGGCGGUCCCUUGGGACCAGGCCUAGACCAGACUCAUCUCAACUCACACCCAGUUCACCAUGGAGUCCAAAGACAUUGCCAUUGCAUUCGCCGUUGGAAUUGUCGUAGGAGCUGCAGUCGUGGCAGCAGCAGGUGGUAUGCCCGUGUCUUUCUGUGCAGUGGCAGCUACCAAGACCAUAUCUCUUGCCAUGUCUUUUGCAAUUGGGCGAAAACAAAAGGCCUGACUCUGCCCUGCAAUCAGCAGCAGACACCAUACUGUCCUUUGGAAGAAUUCCAGGUCAUCACAGCAGAGAACAGAAGCACAUUUCAUCCUUCCACGCAGCCUGAUUCAUGCCUUCCCACUGCUGGAACUGGAAAACCCCGCUGACCCCCAGCUGCCCCUUUCAAUAAUUUUGCAUUACAUUGAGCAAU
ensembl:lncRNA